CAUGGAGGGGGACACCCCGAGUUCCCAGAGGCAUGCAGCCAGGAAGCUCUUCUCACGCCAGCGAGGAAGGAAAGCCAGUCGCAGCAGCGGUACUUUGCUGGGGAGGAAGAAACU